GUUAUACAGGGUUCAGUUAUAUAAAGCCCCGAUUUAUCGGGGUUUUUUGUUAUCUGACGAGCAAUAACUGGGCUAUAUGCCCUUUUUUU
rnacentral:sRNA from 1 species